rnacentral:rRNA from 1 species
GAUGAACGCUGGCGGCGUGCCUAAUACAUGCAAGUCGAGCGAACGGACGAGAAGCUUGCUUCUCUGAUGUUAGCGGCGGACGGGUGAGUAACACGUGGAUAACCUACCUAUAAGACUGGGAUAACGUCGGGAAACCGGAGCUAAUACCGGAUGAUAUUUUGAACCGCAUGGGUCAAAAGUGAAAGACGGUCUUGCUGUCACUUAUAGAUGGAUCCGCGCUGCAUUAGCUAGUUGGUAAGGUAACGGCUUACCAAGGCGACGAUGCAUAGCCGACCUGAGAGGGUGAUCGGCCACACUGGAACUGAGACACGGUCCAGACUCCUACGGGAGGCAGCAGUAGGGAAUCUUCCGCAAUGGGCGAAAGCCUGACGGAGCAACGCCGCGUGAGUGAUGAAGGUCUUCGGAUCGUAAAACUCUGUUAUUAGGGAAGAACAUCUUUGUAAGUAUCCGUGCACAUCUUGACGGUACCUAAUCAGAAAGCCCCGGCUAACUACGUG